UCUCCGUUGGUGAACCAGCGGAGGGAUCAUUACCGAGUUCCAGCAACUCCCAACCCUUGCGAACCGUACCCCAGUCUGUUCUCGUUGCUUCCGGCAGGCGGGGGGGGCCACCUGGCCCCUCCCCCUGCCGGGGGCGGCGGGCCCUCUUAACCUUUAUAUCUCAACCACUGAAACCCGUCUGAGCAAAACAAAAAAUAAUCAAAACUUUCAACAACGGAUCUCUUGGCUUUG
rnacentral:misc_RNA from 1 species